rnacentral:misc_RNA from 1 species
AGAAAAACUGAAGCAGACCCCAAGAUCCCCAAGACCCAUUGAUCCAUCAUCCCACCUAAUCUCUUCACCACAACCCCACUUGCUAAAAACCUAGAUUUUACUCAUUACAAUCUUCACAUACUAACUCCACAUCUCCAAUAAGUCAAAAAAAAAUAAUCAAAACCCCAAUCCAAGAAAAUGGAUGUCUUCAAAUCUGAAAUACCAAAAGUAGCAGAAAACAGUAUAACACAACAGCAAAAGGGAUCAAGAAACGAUUUUCUUGAAUUUUCUUGGAGAAUU